GUUAUGUAAGGCCUGUAUCCACGUUCUCUGUGGGUAAGGAUAAGCUAAUAUCUGUUCUGUACAGUGUGGUGACACCAAUGCUGAACCCACUAAUAUAUACAUUGAAAAACAAGGAUGUAAGCAAGGCAAUGUAUAGGCAGUUUAUCUCUAUGAAAUUAUUUAAGACAGUUUAACCCCUGCAAAAAACAAUAAAGCAUUAUUUUGUAA